rfam:Candida parapsilosis strain CDC317 annotated contig 005807
CUCCUGGUAGCUUAGUUGGUUUAAAGCACAAGACUGUAAAUAUUUCCAGAUUUUGUAAUCUUGGGAUCGGGCGUUCGACUCGCCCCCGGGAGA